CAAGUUGGAAAAUUUGGACUUGUACAUGAUGUAUCUUUCUGCUUUUUUUCACCAUUUACCAGACCUCUGGUCAAUUGGUGAUUUGCUUCUCUGAAACUGAGGUUUCACUUUGGAAAAAGGAAUUCCUGCCUCUUUAACACCUGACCAAGUCCCUGAGCGCUGCUUCCCAGAAUGCCGGGCACUAUGUAAAUAGCCACCAUCCAGAGUGAGCAUGAUUCAUACCAUAGGACAAGGCAAAGAGAACUUUGAAAUGUCAUUUGUGGUGACGAUUACAUAAAAGGAAAUUACAGGUACUAAAAUCAACUCUCUCCCAUUUUCACAAGGUGUAUCACCAUACUGGAAAAAGUUAGGUCCUUUGGGCCUUUAUAUGGGUGCGUGAGAAGAUGGCCUCCUGCCCGGAUGAUCCUCAGUGGUCUGGGGUGCAGGCUUCAAACCUGUAGCUGUCUGGCGACAGAGUGGUUCAAUUCCACCUUCCGGGCGAUAGAUACUUGCUUUUUUUCCCCGAACCUGCCGACCACCUUGGAGGGUGUCAGCUCUGCCAAGAUGCACUCCCACACCCGCGCCUGGAGAGGUUCCUGAGCCUUCCACAUUCCCAUUGACACUCUUGCCAGGUGGGCCUUGGCCUGUGGUUGCUUUCUUCUCAGCAAGAGCUAAGAUGACUGGAAAAGACAAAGAACGUUUCUUCUACACAACUGCAGGGUAUUCAGCAGGUGUUUGGCCUCGCAAUGUUCUGGCCCCAGCCAUCUAGUCCUGUCCAUAUUUCGCUGGUCUUACCUAGGACCCAAGGCAGCUGUGACCUCAUCCAGGAAGACCUGCUUGACGCUCAGUCAAGGUUAGAUGCACCUUGUGUGCCCCCACUGUUCCAUUCGGACCUCAGACCUGCCACCUUUGUGUUGUCUCUCACUGGGGACGGAUCUGUAUUCAUUGUUUUCUUAUGAGCCAUAGG
rnacentral:tRNA from 1 species